UGGCUCAGAAUGAACGUUGGCGGCGUGGAUUAGGCAUGCAAGGUCGUACGGGCCGGCAAGGCCAGUGGCGCAAGGGUGAGUAAGGCGACGGUAACCAACCCCGUGAAUGGGUAUAGCCGCGGGAAACUGCGGGUAAUCCCCCAGCGAUGUCCGAGGGAAGCAUUUCCCCCGGACCAAAGCUCCGGCGUCGCGGGACGGGCCGUCGUGCUAUUAGCUUGUUGGCGGGUAACGGCCCACCAAGGCGAUGAUGGCUACCGGGCGUGCGAGCGUGGCCCGACACACUGGGACUGAGACACUGCCCAGACUCCUACGGGAGGCUGCAGUCGAGAAUCUUCGGCAAUGGGCGCAAGCCUGACCGAGCGACGCCGCGUGGAGGACGAAGGCCUUCGGGUUGUAAACUCCCUGUCGAGGGGGGAAGAAGCCGCAAGGUUGACUGAACCCUGGAGGAAGCACGGGCUAAGUUCGUGCCAGCAGCCGCGGUAAGACGAACCGUGCGAACGUUAUUCGGAAUCACUGGG
rnacentral:rRNA from 1 species